UACGUAGGGCGCAAGCGUUGUCCGGAAUUAUUGGGCGUAAAGAGCUCGUAGGCGGCUUGUCACGUCGGGUGUGAAAGACCGGGGCUUAACCCCGGUUCUGCAUUCGAUACGGGCUAGCUAGAGUGUGGUAGGGGAGAUCGGAAUUCCUGGUGUAGCGGUGAAAUGCGCAGAUAUCAGGAGGAACACCAGUGGCGAAGGCGGUGCUCUGGGCCGGAACUGACGCUGAGGAGCGAAAGCGUGGGGAGCAAACAGG
rnacentral:rRNA from 1 species